rnacentral:lncRNA from 1 species
CAUCGACCAAUGGACUUGGAGGAUGGCGGCCACGCCCCCUAUUCUGCGCUGUAGUAGGCCCUGGUUACGCCUCCUCUGGUCAGUCGCACAGUUGCGCGGUGGCCGACAGGAAUUGUUCCCCAGUGGUAAGCCGCAAUCUAGCUGACGUGGCCCCAACCCCACAUUCCUUCCUGCCCUGCAAUGUCUGAAGAAACCCUACAGAGCAAAUUGGCGGCUGCAAAGAAAAAGCUGCCUUGGGGUGCGGUGCAGGGGUCCAGAGCCAUGUCGGACCUGUUACUGUUACUACUGGACCUGACUCUGUUACUGCUGCUGAUGCUGCUGGGCUUUGCCGGGUACUCAGGGCAGUUGGCUGGGGUGGCAGUGAGUGCCGGCUCACCCCCCAUCCCUACAAGUUCCAUGUGGAGCCCUAUGGUGAGACUGGGUGGCUUCUCACCAGAGCUGCAGCAUCUCCCCCAAACUCUGCUCCAUCGCUGU